rnacentral:rRNA from 1 species
UAGGGAAUCUUCGGCAAUGGGGGGAACCCUGACCGAGCAACGCCGCGUGAGUGAAGAAGGUUUUCGGAUCGUAAAGCUCUGUUGUUAAGGAAGAACGAGUGUGAGAAUGGAAAGUUCAUGCUGUGACGGUACUUAACCAGAAAGGGACGGCUAACUACGUGCCAGCAGCCGCGGUAAUACGUAGGUCCCGAGCGUUGUCCGGAUUUAUUGGGCGUAAAGCGAGCGCAGGCGGUUAGAUAAGUCUGCAGUUAAAGGCAGUGGCUCAACCAUUGUAGGCUUUGGAAACUGUUUAACUUGAGUGCAGAAGGGGAGAGUGGAAUUCCAUGUGUAGCGGUGAAAUGCGUAGAUAUAUGGAGGAACACCGGUGGCGAAAGCGGCUCUCUGGUCUGUAACUGACGCUGAGGCUCGAAAGCGUGGGGAGCGAACAGG